GAUUCCAUUUCUUCCCCCAGGCUCCCAGUACAUCCCACUGCACCCAGUGUGUCUCUGAGCCUGUCUUUGUCCCCAGCCCCCUGUGGUGGAGAAGGUGCUGGGUCUUGUUGGUGAGAAAGGCGUGGCUGCAUCCCUGGAUGGCUGAGGACUGGUGGUGACACCCGUGCCCUGUCCCCCUCCAGCGGAAUGAGGAGAUGAUCAUCCCUGGAAGAACCCCCUGAUUUCCCUCAGAGCCCAGGGGCAUUUCCCCUGAAUGAUCAAUAAAUCCCUUCAGCAAAGCUA